rnacentral:rRNA from 1 species
GUGGGGAAUACUGGACAAUGGGCGAAAGCCUGAUCCAGCCAUGCCGCGUGUGUGAAGAAGGUCUUCGGAUUGUAAAGCACUUUAAGUUGGGAGGAAGGGCAGUAAGUUAAUACCUUGCUGUUUUGACGUUACCGACAGAAUAAGCACCGGCUAACUUCGUGCCAGCAGCCGCGGUAAUACGAAGGGUGCAAGCGUUAAUCGGAAUUACUGGGCGUAAAGCGCGCGUAGGUGGUUCAGCAAGUUGGAGGUGAAAUCCCCGGGCUCAACCUGGGAACUGCCUCCAAAACUACUGGGCUAGAGUACGGUAGAGGGUAGUGGAAUUUCCUGUGUAGCGGUGAAAUGCGUAGAUAUAGGAAGGAACACCAGUGGCGAAGGCGACUACCUGGACUGAUACUGACACUGAGGUGCGAAAGCGUGGGGAGCAAACAGGAUUAGAUACCCCAGUAGUCC